rnacentral:rRNA from 1 species
UACGGAGGGUGCAAGCGUUAUCCGGAUUCACUGGGUUUAAAGGGUGCGUAGGCGGGCUUGUAAGUCGGUGGUGAAAGCCCGGGGCUUAACUCCGGAACUGCCGUUGAUACCGCAAGCCUUGAGUACAGUUGAGGUGGGCGGAAUACAUCAUGUAGAGGUGAAAUUCUUAGAUAUGAUGUAGAACACCGAUUGCGAAGGCAGCUCACUAAAGUGUAACUGACGCUGAGGCACGAAAGCGUGGGGAGCAAACAGG